AUACGUAGGGUGCGAGCGUUGUCCGGAAUUACUGGGCGUAAAGAGCUCGUAGGUGGUUUGUCGCGUCGUCUGUGAAAUUCCGGGGCUUAACUCCGGGCGUGCAGGCGAUACGGGAAUAACUUGAGUACUGUAGGGGAGACUGGAAUUCCUGGUGUAGCGGUGAAAUGCGCAGAUAUCAGGAGGAACACCGGUGGCGAAGGCGGGUCUCUGGGCAGUAACUGACGCUGAGGAGCGAAAGCAUGGGUAGCGAACAGGAUUAGAUACCCUGGUAGUCCAUGCCGUAAACGGUGGGCGCUAGGUGUAGGGGUCUUCCACGACUUCUGUGCCGUAGCUAACGCAUUAAGCGCCCCGCCUGGGGAGUACGAUCGCAAGAUUGAAACUCAAAUGAAUUGACGGGG
rnacentral:rRNA from 1 species